AAAGAGUGGCGUGAGGACUUUCCCAAUUUUAAGAAGAAGGUGGCGCGCUGCGUGCGGCGGAGUCAAGAGGAGUGCUGAGUGGUGUUGCCGGCCCGAGGACCUGCUGCACUGGCGGCCCCGUGGAACUGCGCUGUGAUAGGACGAUCGCUGGGGCCGGGCGGGCCGGCCGCCGCUCGCCCUGGUCGCUGGCUAGUAGUCGGGGCCCGGCGCGCGACGGCGGCAGGAGGACCGUGCCGACGACCGACGGACGACGGACGACGGACCGACGUACGGACGGACGGAGGGCGGAGGACGGCGCGAACGGAGACGGACGGCGGACGGAGGGGACGGCACGGCGCUCGACCGGAGCCACGGCGGAGGGACAGGGACGGGACAGCCGGGAGCGGUGAGUGGGACAGCUGGGACGGAGUGCGGGGACGGACCGACGGACUGGGCAGUGCUGGGGGGUCCAGGAGGCGGCCGACGGGCGGUCUCGACCGCCGGCGCCGGCCAGCCGACUCGUCUUCUCGCGGCUCGCCGGCCGCCUGGUGACGGCAGCCGUCACUCGAAACUGUGGACUCAGCCGCCAGAUGGCAGUGAGCGUGCGGUGUGGUGAGUGCCGAGCGCGUGGCGUCGUCUUCUUACCUCAGUGUGGGUGUGAGUGUUGUGUCUUGUUGCGUGCUUAUUUCGCCGACUGGGGAGGGCUGGUGGCCGGCAGGCUCGGAUUGCUGAACAGAAUCAUCAGGCGCGAUCUGUGGCAUAAAAUAAUCUCUGCAUUUGAGCUCGUUAUUGGUCGUUUUGGUUUGGAAAUAAAUAGAAAGGUUUACGAGGAAGGUAAUUGCUCUCGCCUACCCUUGCCGCAUGUGUACAUGCCUGUAUGUAGUGGGGUAUUUUAUUUUCGGUGUGAAUAAAGUAAGAAUUUGUU